rnacentral:rRNA from 1 species
ACGAGAAUCUGCGGAAAGAGGAUUCGUCCAAUUGAAGCAGAGGACAGUGGCGGACGGGUGAGUAACGCGUGAGGAACCUGCCUUUCAGAGGGGGACAACAGUUGGAAACGACUGCUAAUACCGCAUGACAUAUAGAUGUCGCAUGGCAUUUAUAUCAAAGAUUUAUCGCUGAAAGAUGGCCUCGCGUCUGAUUAGCUAGUUGGUGAGGUAACGGCCCACCAAGGCGACGAUCAGUAGCCGGACUGAGAGGUUGAACGGCCACAUUGGGACUGAGAUACGGCCCAGACUCCUACGGGAGGCAGCAGUGGGGAAUAUUGGGCAAUGGGCGCAAGCCUGACCCAGCAACGCCGCGUGAAGGAAGAAGGCUUUCGGGUUGUAAACUUCUUUUGUCAGGGACGAGUAGAAGACGGCACCUGACGAAUAAGCCACGGCUAACUACGUGCCAGCAGCCGCGGUAAUACGUAGGUGGCAAGCGUUGUCCGGAUUUACUGGGUGUAAAGGGCGUGUAGCCGGGAGGGCAAGUCAGAUGUGAAAUCCACGGGCUCAACUCGUGAACUGCAUUUGAAACUACUCUUCUUGAGUAUCGGAGAGGCAAUCGGAAUUCCUAGUGUAGCGGUGAAAUGCGUAGAUAUUAGGAGGAACACCAG